GUUUGAUCCUGGCUCAGAUUGAACGCUGGCGGCAUGCCUUACACAUGCAAGUCGAACGGCAGCACGGGGGCAACCCUGGUGGCGAGUGGCGAACGGGUGAGUAACAUAUCGGAACAUACCCUAGAGUGGGGGAUAACGUAGCGAAAGUUACGCUAAUACCGCAUACGAUCUAAGGAUGAAAGUGGGGGAUCUUCGGACCUCAUGCUCAUGGAGUGGCCGAUAUCUGAUUAGCUAGUUGGUGAGGUAAAGGCUCACCAAGGCGACGAUCAGUAGCUGGUUUGAGAGAACGACCAGCCACACUGGAACUGAGACACGGUCCAGACUCCUACGGGAGGCAGCAGUGGGGAAUUUUGGACAAUGGGGGCAACCCUGAUCCAGCAAUGCCGCGUGAGUGAAGAAGGCCUUCGGGUUGUAAAGCUCUUUUGUCAGGGAAGAAACGGUGAGUUCUAAUACAGCUUGCUAAUGACGGUACCUGAAGAAUAAGCACCGGCUAACUACGUG
rnacentral:rRNA from 1 species